rnacentral:rRNA from 1 species
AUGAACGCUGGCGGCGUGCCUAAUACAUGCAAGUCGCGCGAACAGAUAAGGAGCUUGCUCCUUUGACGUUAGCGGCGGACGGGUGAGUAACACGUGGGUAACCUACCUAUAAGACUGGGAUAACUUCGGGAAACCGGAGCUAAUACCGGAUAACAUUUGGAACCGCAUGGUUCUAAAGUGAAAGAUGGUUUUGCUAUCACUUAUAGAUGGACCCGCGCCGUAUUAGCUAGUUGGUAAGGUAACGGCUUACCAAGGCGACGAUACGUAGCCGACCUGAGAGGGUGAUCGGCCACACUGGAACUGAGACACGGUCCAGACUCCUACGGGAGGCAGCAGUAGGGAAUCUUCCGCAAUGGGCGAAAGCCUGACGGAGCAACGCCGCGUGAGUGAUGAAGGGUUUCGGCUCGUAAAACUCUGUUAUUAGGGAAGAACAAAUGUGUAAGUAACUGUGCACGUCCUGACGGUACCUAAUCAGAAAGCCACGGCUAACUACGUG